AUUCAUGGCGGGCGAUGCGUGGGGAUCCUUGAUCCGCCGGCUUUUGAUCCUUACACCGGUAUGGCAACCCGCAUCGCCUGCCACCUCG
rnacentral:antisense_RNA from 1 species